UGGGGAAUUUUGCGCAAUGGGCGAAAGCCUGACGCAGUAACGCCGCGUGGAGGAUGAAGGCCUUCGGGUUGUAAACUCCUGUCAGGGGGAACGAUGGGACAUUGGCGAAGAGCCUCUGUUCUAAGACGGUACCUCCAAAGGAAGCCCCGGCUAAUUCCGUGCCAGCAGCCGCGGUAAUACGGAAGGGCAAGCGUUGUUCGGAAUCAUUGGGCGUAAAGGGCGCGUAGGCGGUCUCGUGUGUCCGCUGUAAAAGCACACGGCUCAACCGUAUUGGGUCGGUGGAAACUGCGAGACUUGAGGCUGGAAGGGGCUGGUGGAAUUCCCCAUGUAGCGGUGAAAUGCGUAGAGAUGGGGGAGAACACUCGUGGCGAAGGCGGCCAGCUGGACCAGUUCUGACGCUGAGGCGCGAAAGCGUGGGGAGCAAACAGGAUUAGGAUACCCGUGGUAGUCCACGACCGUAAACGAUGGGCACGUAGGUGUCGGCGGUAUUGAUCCCGU
rnacentral:rRNA from 1 species